rnacentral:lncRNA from 1 species
CUGGGAAGCGGCCUCAGCUCGCUUGGGGAGGAGGUGGCUGUGGGCAGGUGGUCGCCGGCCUCGAGCGGUCGGGCCUGGCUUCUCCGCUACGGGCUGUUGUUCCCUACAUGGCUGGGCGAGUGGACGAGACCGGGACGCCACCCCACACGCAGCGGUGUUCCUUCCCCAGUGUCCGCGUAGAAUUACCGUCUUGGGGCUCUGGGAGGCGACCUGGUUGUCAUGUUCCUGAGGAACUCUGAGAAGAAACUUAUCACAGCUGAGAGAUAUAUACCAAGAACUUAUCAUCAUACUCCACCUGCAACACCUACAGAUUUGGGUGAAUUCCUCUCUUCCCAAGGUCCCCAAAAUAUCCUGGGGUUCCUGCACCUGCCAGGGAAGUGACCUUCCUUAUUAACCAGUUUAAAAAGUGAGCAGAAUGUGUCCACCACAGACAUGCACAGUAGGAAAUGUUAAAGGAAAUUCUUCAGGUUGAAGGGAAAUAAUAUAACAUGGAAACAGAUCUACAUGAAGAAAGAGGACAGGAAAUGGGAAGUACGUUAGUAAAUAUUUUUUCAGUUCUCACUUCUCAUAUCCUCUAAAAGACAAAUAGUUACAGCAGAAAUAAUAACAACGUAUCAUGGGUUUAUAACAUUUGUAGAAGUAAAACAUAUGCCAACAAUGACUUGGGAGGUUCACACGCACUGUGUCUCCUGCAGGUGAGGAUGCAGCCCACAGCCUGCCUCCCAACUCUGCACCUGGCCCCACCCCAGAAUCCUGUAACCAGCACCAUGUGAAUGAGCCAGGGCUGGCCUGCUGGAGGACGGACAUCACACGCCCAGCUAAUACCACUGACCAUCCUGACAGCCAGCCAUCUACCAAACACGUGAGGCCAAAAAUUGCCAGCUAACCACAAAGUCAAUGAACCCAAGUGAUACCACACGGAGCAGAGAUGAACCAUCUCGGCUGCUCCCAGCCUGAAUGUCAUAAUUUAGGGCAAGUCACAUAAUUAUGAGAAAAUCAAUGGAUGUUGUUUAUGCCACUAAGUUUUCGGGUGAUUCCCUUUUUUUUUUCAAGUGUUUUUUUUUUUUUUUUCCUGAGGAAGAUUCGCUCUGAGCUAACACCUGUGGCCAAUCUUCCUCUUUUUGGUUGAGGAAUAUUCACCCUGAGCUAACAUCUUGCCAGUCUUCCUCUAUUUCAUAUGUGGGUCACCGGCACAGAAUGGCUGCUGACAAGUGGUGUAGUUCUGAGUCCAGGAACUGAACCUGGGCCGCCAAAGCAGAGGGUGCCAAACUUAACCAGUAGGCCACGGGGCUGGCCUCUAGGGUGACUUCUUACACUGCACAAACUGGCGGCUGCAUGGGUCUAGCACUGAGCCUGUUGUCUUCUGUGCUAGACGAGCUCUCUGCUCCUAGACUCCAGUCGCCAGGUGGCGGAGAGGAGAGCCGAGCCACUUGCUGAGAGGAGGCAGGGACUGUGGCUUUGUCUCCUGGGGUUGUGAGACUAUAAAUGGGAUGUAAGUGCUGUCACAGUUAACUUGCUAAAACUGAUCUUGACAGUUACACUUAAAACUCUUCAACACUCAUCAAACUGGCAAAGAUGAAAACAAUCCGCCUUCAGCACUGGCGAGGGGGGAGCAGAGGCUCCCUGACACUCUUCACUCUGAUGCUGGCAGAGCCUUUCUGAAGGGCAAUUUACAACACGUGCCAAGACCUUAAAUACCUUUUUUUUUUUUUGAAAGAGAUUAGCCCUGAGCUAACAUCUGCUGCCAAUCCUCCUCUUUUUGCUGAGGAAGGCUGGCCCUGAGCUAACAUCCAUGCCCAUCUUCCUCUACUUUAUACUUGGGACGCCUACCACAGCAUGGCUUUUGCCAAGCGGUGCCAUGUCCACACCCGGGAUCUGAACUGGCGAACCCCGGGCCACCGAAACAGAACAUGCGAACUUAACUGCUACGCCACCGGGCCGGCCCAUUGAAUACCUUUUGAGCAAUUUCACUUUUAGGAAUCCCCCAAAGGAAAUAACAAACCACAUGCAAGAACUUAUGAACAAAAAAUAUUGAGCACUGCGUUCUUUAUGAAUACCAGACAAAAAUGUUUAGCAUGUCUAUAGCCAUUUCCCGAAUGCCAGGCCUUGUUCUAGUGUUAACACAUAUGGACACAUUGAAGCCUCAUAACAGCCCUCUCAGGCGUCAUUUCCAUCUCAGGGGUGAGCAAAUGAGUGCACAGUGAGUCAAUCUCUCCUCUCAAAUCUGGCAGGACAGCCACACCCUCCCGAGACUCCUGCACAUCCUGGACCGUCUACUCCCU